rnacentral:lncRNA from 1 species
UGACGGCGGCCUCCGGGCAUGGAGCUCGCGCUGACGAAAGGUUCUGGAAGCCGCCGUAAAAACCCUUUGAGGAACCGUUUGAGGUGUGGCACGAUACAGCAAGUCAGCUGCCAAAGAGGGGCUUAGCCACAGGAAGUGCGUGCCCAGAACGCAUCUCCCGUGUCCCUCACAGCAGUUCUAUGAGGCUGGCUGCCCUGUUUGACAACUGAGGCCCGCAUCUUCCCCGGAAUCACCGACGUGUGGCUCUGAGCCCUGUCCCAGGGAUUUUCUCCAUCAGAGAAGAGGAGCACUUUGAGCUUUGAGAGGAGCAGCCCUCUGCAAGUGAAGUGGAAAAAAAGGAAGCAGGCGAGGAGGCCCAUCCAGACCCUCCCCCAAG